ACCCUGCUGUCUCAAAUGGUAAAGAAUCUGCCUGCAGUGCAGGAGACCUGGGUUUGAUCCCUGGGUUGGGAA
rnacentral:tRNA from 1 species